ACGAACGCUGGCGGCAUGCCUAACACAUGCAAGUCGAACGAGACCUUCGGGUCUAGUGGCGCACGGGUGCGUAACGCGUGGGAAUCUGCCCUUCGGUUGGGAAUAACUGAGAGAAAUUUCAGCUAAUACCUUAUAAUGUCUUCGGACCAAAGAUUUAUCGCCGAGGGAUGAGCCCGCGUAGGAUUAGGUAGUUGGUGGGGUAAUGGCCUACCAAGCCGACGAUCCUUAGCUGGUCUGAGAGGAUGAUCAGCCACACUGGGACUGAGACACGGCCCAGACUCCUACGGGAGGCAGCAGUGGGGAAUAUUGGACAAUGGGCGAAAGCCUGAUCCAGCAAUGCCGCGUGAGUGAUGAAGGCCUUAGGGUUGUAAAGCUCUUUUACCCGGGAUGAUAAUGACAGUACCGGGAGAAUAAGCGCCGGCUAACUCCGUG
rnacentral:rRNA from 1 species